UACGGGGGGGGCAAGCGUUGUUCGGAAUUACUGGGCGUAAAGGGCUCGUAGGCGGCCAACUAAGUCAGACGUGAAAUCCCCAGGCUCAACCUGGGAACUGCGUCUGAUACUGGAUGGCUUGAAUCCGGGAGAGGGAUGCAGAAUUCCAGGUGUAGCGGUGAAAUGCGUAGAUAUCGGGAGGAACAUCAGUGGCGAAGGCGGCCUUCUGGUCCAGUACUGACACUCAAGUGCGAAAGCGUGGGGAGCAAACAGG
rnacentral:rRNA from 1 species